GGCCCUCACCCGUGGCUGAACGCCCAUAUAAAACCGCAGGCAACCGCAUGCGGUCAAGGAGUCACGGUCAUGGGCAUGGCCGUGACACUACCAAUGGUAUUCAUACAGUUCUCUGUUCUGCCUGUAGGUGGCACAGUGAUCCCUACCAAUGGUAUUCAUACAGUUCUCUGUUCUGCCUGUAGGUGGCCAUUGAUUUCCAACUAAAGGUGUUAAUACAGUUCUCUGUUCUGCCAGUAGGUGGCGCAGUGAUCCCUACCAAUGGUAUUCAUACAGUUCUCUGUUCUGCCAGUAGGGGGCGCAGUGAUCCCUACCAAUGGUAUUCAUACAGUUCUCUGUUCUGCCUGUAGGUGGCGCAGUGAUCCCUACCAAUGGUAUUCAUACAGUUCUCUGUUCUGCCUGUAGGUGGCGCAGUGAUCCCUACCAAUGGUAUUCAUACAGUUCUCUGUUCUGCCUGUAGGUGGCGCAGUGAUCACUACCAAUGGUAUUCAUACAGUUCUCUGUUCUGCCUGUAGGUGGCGCAAUGUUCCCUACCGAUGGUAUUCAUACAGUUCUCUGUUCUGCCUGUAGGUGGCGCAAUGUUCCCUACCAAUGGUACUCAUACAGUUCUCUGUUCUGCCUGUAGGUGGCGCAGUGAUCACUACCAAUGGUAUUCAUACAGUUCUCUGUUCUGCCAGUAGGGGGCGCAGUGAUCCCUACCAAUGGUAUUCAUACAGUUCUCUGUUCUGCCUGUAGGUGGCGCAGUGAUCCCUACCAAUGGUAUUCAUACAGUUCUCUGUUCUGCCUGUAGGUGGCGCAGUGAUCCCUACCAAUGGUAUUCAUACAGUUCUCUGUUCUGCCUGUAGGUGGCGCAGUGAUCCCUACCAAUGGUAUUCAUACAGUUCUCUGUUCUGCCUGUAGGUGGCGCAGUGAUCCCUACCAAUGGUAUUCAUACAGUUCUCUGUUCUGCCUGUAGGCGGCGCAGUGAUCCCUACCAAUGGUAUUCAUACAGUUCUCUGUUCUGCCUGUAGGUGGCGCAGUGAUCCCUACCAAUGGUAUUCAUACAGUUCUCUGUUCUGCCUGUAGGUGGCGCAGUGAUCCCUACCAAUGGUAUUCAUACAGUUCUCUGUUCUGCCUGUAGGUGGCGCAGUGAUCCCUACCAAUGGUAUUCAUACAGUUCUCUGUUCUGCCUGUAGGUGGCGCAGUGAUCCCUACCAAUGGUAUUCAUACAGUUCUCUGUUCUGCCUGUAGGUGGCGCAGUGAUCCCUACCAAUGGUAUUCAUACAGUUCUCCGUUCUGCCUGUAGGUGGCGCAGUGAUCCCUACCAAUGGUAUUCAUACAGUUCUCUGUUCUGCCUGUAGGUGGCGCAGUGAUCCCUACCAAUGGUAUUCAUACAGUUCUCUGUUCUGCCUGUAGGUGGCGCAGUGAUCCCUACCAAUGGUAUUCAUACAGUUCUCUGUUCUGCCUGUAGGUGGCGCAGUGAUCCCUACCAAUGGUAUUCAUACAGUUCUCUGUUCUGCCUGUAGGUGGCGCAGUGAUCCCUACCAAUGGUAUUCAUACAGUUCUCUGUUCUGCCAGUAGGGGGCGCAGUGAUCCCUACCAAUGGUAUUCAUACAGUUCUCUGUUCUGCCUGUAGGUGGCGCAGUGAUCCCUACCAAUGGUAUUCAUACAGUUCUCCGUUCUGCCAGUAGGUGGCGCAGUGAUCCCUACCAAUGGUAUUCAUACAGUUCUCCGUUCUGCCUGUAGGUGGCGCAGUGAUCCCUACCAAUGGUAUUCAUACAGUUCUCCGUUCUGCCUGUGAUCCCUACCGAUGGUAUUCAUACAGUUCUCCGUUCUGCCUGUAGGUGGCGCAGUGAUCCCUACCAAUGGUAUUCAUACAGUUCUCUGUUCUGCCUGUAGGUGGCGCAGUGAUCCCUACCAAUGGUAUUCAUACAGUUCUCUGUUCUGCCUGUAGGUGGCGCAGUGAUCCCUACCGAUGGUAUUCAUACAGUUCUCCGUUCUGCCUGUAGGUGGCGCAGUGAUCCCUACCGAUGGUAUUCAUACAGUUCUCCGUUCUGCCUGUAGGUGGCGCAGUGAUCCCUUAUUAUUUUAGAUGCUGGUCUGUAGAGGGCGCACUUGACUCGGCUUUCCAUUGCACUGUAUGUGCUCUGCCUGCAGAGGGCGCACUUCUACUACUUUUUUUUUUUUUUUU